UUUUUUAGAGUUUUGGAUCCUGGCCAGGACGAACGCUGGCGGCGUGCCUAAUACAUGCAAGUCGAACGAACUCUGGUAUUGAUUGGUGCUUGCAUCAUGAUUUACAUUUGAGUGAGUGGCGAACUGGUGAGUAACACGUGGGAAACCUGCCCAGAAGCGGGGGAUAACACCUGGAAACAGAUGCUAAUACCGCAUAACAACUUGGACCGCAUGGUCCGAGUUUGAAAGAUGGCUUCGGCUAUCACUUUUGGAUGGUCCCGCGGCGUAUUAGCUAGAUGGUGAGGUAACGGCUCACCAUGGCAAUGAUACGUAGCCGACCUGAGAGGGUAAUCGGCCACAUUGGGACUGAGACACGGCCCAAACUCCUACGGGAGGCAGCAGUAGGGAAUCUUCCACAAUGGACGAAAGUCUGAUGGAGCAACGCCGCGUGAGUGAAGAAGGGUUUCGGCUCGUAAAACUCUGUUGUUAAAGAAGAACAUAUAUGAGAGUAACUGUUCAGGUAUUGACGGUAUUUAACCAGAAAGCCACGGCUAACUACGUGCCAGCAGCCGCGGUAAUACGUAGGUGGCAAGCGUUGUCCGGAUUUAUUGGGCGUAAAGCGAGCGCAGGCGGUUUUUUAAGUCUGAUGUGAAAGCCUUCGGCUCAACCGAAGAAGUGCAUCGGAAACUGGGAAACUUGAGGCAGAAGAGA
rnacentral:rRNA from 1 species